UCGGCGGAUCAGCCCGCUCCCGGUAAAACGGGACGGCCGCCAGAGGACCCCCAAACUCUGUUUCUAUAUGUAACUUCUGAGUAAAACCAUAAAUAAAUCAAAACUUUCAACAACGGAUCUCUUGGUUCUGGCAUCGAUGAAGAACGCAGCAAAAUGCGAUAAGUAAUGUGAAUUGCAGAAUUCAGUGAAUCAUCGAAUCUUUGAACGCACAUUGCGCCCGCCAGUAUUCUGGCGGGCAUGCCUGUUCGAGCGUCAUUUCAACCCUCAAGCCCAGCUUGGUGUUGGGACUCGCGAGUCAAAUCGCGUUCCCCAAAUCGAUUGGCGGUCACGUCGAGCUUCCAUAGCGUAGUAGUAAAACCCUCGUUACUGGUAAUCGUCGCGGCCACGCCGUUAAACCCCAACUUCUGAAUGUUGACCUCGGAUCAGGUAGGAAUACCCGCUGAACUU
rnacentral:rRNA from 1 species